rnacentral:rRNA from 1 species
AUGAUGAAGUCUUUCCUGAUGGUGCCACACGACGAUGACCAAGAUGACCACAUCAACAAGGUGGUCACAACCUGGGCGAACCAGAUCCUCGAUAUCGCCUACGACGUCGAGGAUGGCCUCAAGAAAAUCGUCCUCCGCGUCCACGGGCAAUCCUGGUGGGGCAUCCCUCGCACACUCCUCGACCGGCGCCAUGUCGUGGAGCAGAUGAAGGAGCUGCAUACCAAGGUGGAGCACGUCGGCCAAAGGAACUUGCGCUACCGCCUCAUCGACGGUGCUUCCAAAGCUCAAAACCUCUCCAUUAACACCGGCCCUGCUACUGACCAGACCAUCUAUGCUUUCCACGAGCAGAGUUUUCAAGACACAAAAUAUUCACCAAAGGCAGCGUCGAGCUUAGUGUUACCCCACACCAUUGAGAAUGAGAUACAAGAAGGCCAAUCUUAUCCUGAAGAUGAUGAAAUGACAAUGAUCCAAGAGAGCCUCACACACACCAGUAAUGUGCAAGGUCCUGUAGAGGAAUUUCAGCUUAUUGGGCGGGAGAAAGAAAUAUCUGAUAUUAUUGAAUUGAUUCUAGAACACUCUAGCACCCAACAACAAAUUCAGGUCAUUGCAGUGUGGGGAAAGGGUGGUGUUGGGAAAAGCACUCUGAUCAGUGAUAUUUACCAUAGCCAAGAGGUCAAUCAAAUGUUUGAAAAGCAUGCCUAUGUCACGGUCUUGCAACCUUUCAAGCUUGAGAGGCUCAUUAGCAGCUUAGCAUAUCAACUAGAUGCAAGGAAAGUUGCUUCAACAAAAGUUGCAGACUUUACUGGACUGUUGGACUGGUGUUUACAAGAAAAGAGUUGCUUGAUUGUUCUUGAUGACCUCUCAUCUACCAUGGAAUGGGAUAUAAUAUUGCCAUGUUUGCUUGCAAUGAAUAGUCCAAGCUUGGUCAUUCUGAUCACCACAAGGCAUGAGGAUAUUGCUAAGCAUUGUUGCAAAAACCCAAAGUGCAUAUGCUUGCUCAAUGGUCUAGACGAAAAGGGUGCUUGUGACCUCUUCACACAAAAGGUAUUUAAGGAUAAAGCCACAGAUUUAACUAAGCAUUAUCCUGAAUUGGUUGAGCCCGCAAAUCUGAUCCUAAAGAAGUGCAAUGGACUUCCCCUUGCGAUACUCACCAUAGGUGGAUUUUUGGCGGAACAACCAACAAAAACUUGCGGGGAGUGGAUGAAACUGGAUCGAUGUAUCAGUCUGGAGAUGGAGAUGAAUCCAAAGUUUGAGGGCAUAAAAACAGUCCUUAUGAAAAGUUAUGAUGGCCUACCCUAUUACCUCAAGUCAUGCAUCUUGUACUUAUCCAUCUUCCUUGAAGAUCGCAUAGUUAGCCGGAGACGUUUGGUGUCUCGAUGGGUUGCGGAAGGUUACUCAAAGGAUACAUCCACGGCCAAAAGAUACUUCAUGGAACUUCUCUAG